rnacentral:rRNA from 1 species
GCAUAACGCGAAGAACCUUACCAACCCUUGACAUCCUGUGCUACAUCCGGAGACGGAUGGUUCCUUUCGGGGACGCAGAGACAGGUGCUGCAUGGCUGUCGUCAGCUCGUGUCGUGAGAUGUUCGGUUAAGUCCGGCAACGAGCGCAACCCACACUUCCAGUUGCCAGCAUUCAGUUGGGCACUCUGGAGGAACUGCCGAUGAUAAGUCGGAGGAAGGUGUGGAUGACGUCAAGUCCUCAUGGCCCUUACGGGUUGGGCUACACACGUGCUACAAUGGUGGUGACAAUGGGAUAAUCCCUAAAAGCCAUCUCAGUUCGGAUUGGGGUCUGCAACUCGACCCCAUGAAGUCGGAAUCGCUAGUAAUCGCGUAACAGCAUGACGCGGUGAAUACGUUCCCGGGUCUUGUACACACCG